rnacentral:rRNA from 1 species
CGGCGGACGGGUGAGUAACGCGUGGGUAACCUGCCUCAUACAGGGGGAUAACAGUUAGAAAUGACUGCUAAUACCGCAUAAGACCACAGCACCGCAUGGUGCGGGGGUAAAAGCUCCGGUGGUAUGAGAUGGACCCGCGUCUGAUUAGCUGGUUGGUAAGGUAACGGCUUACCAAGGCGACGAUCAGUAGCCGACCUGAGAGGGUGACCGGCCACAUUGGGACUGAGACACGGCCCAA